rnacentral:pre_miRNA from 1 species
UCCUAUUGGUGAGCAAAGAAAGUGGUUUCUUGAGAUGGAAUCUACUCCUGGUGAAGAUCCUAUGGA